rnacentral:rRNA from 1 species
UACAGAGGUCCCGAGCGUUGUUCGGAUUCACUGGGCGUAAAGGGUGCGUAGGUGGUUGGGUAAGUCUGAUGUGAAAUCUCCGGGCUCAACCCGGAAAUGGCAUUGGAUACUAUCUGGCUAGAGGUUUGGAGGGGGGACUGGAAUUCUCGGUGUAGCAGUGAAAUGCGUAGAUAUCAGGAGGAACACCAAUAGCGAAGGCAGCUCGCUGGGACGUUACUGACACUGAGGCGCGAAAGCGUGGGGAGCGAACAGG